AGGACGAACGCUGGCGGCGUGCUUAACACAUGCAAGUCGAGCGGUAAGGCCCUUUCGGGGGUACACGAGCGGCGAACGGGUGAGUAACACGUGAGCAAUCUGCCCUUCACUUCGGGAUAAGCCUCGGAAACGGGGUCUAAUACCGGAUAUGACUGCGCCAUGCAUGUGGUGUGGUGGAAAGUUCGUGGCGGUGAGGGAUGAGCUCGCGGCCUAUCAGCUUGUUGGUGGGGUAAUGGCCUACGAAGGCUUCGACGGGUAGCCGGCCUGAGAGGUGACCGGCACACUGGGACUGAGACACGGCCCAGACUCCUACGGGAGGCCAGCAGUACGGGAAUAGUGGACAAGUGGGACGAAAGCCUAGGA
rnacentral:rRNA from 1 species